rnacentral:rRNA from 1 species
GGAAGUAAAAGUCGUAACAAGGUUUCCGUAGGUGAACCUGCGGAAGGAUCAUUGUCGAAACCUGAAAAGCAGACCCGUGAACAUGUUUAAAAAUACGCAUGCGUUCGCGACGUUGGAUGAUUUUGUGUCCAACGCCACGACCUCGACCCGAAGUGGCGCAAGUCACUCGGGCGUGCUAACCUCUCGGCGCGAAAAGCGCCAAGGAAAAGCAUACGGAGCACCACUCCGUCCUGGUGUUGUUCUCCGUACCCAGGACGUGAUGAGGCGCGUCUCUUGAAUAGAUCUAACGACUCUCGGCAACGGAUAUCUCGGCUCUCGCAUCGAUGAAGAACGUAGCGAAAUGCGAUACUUGGUGUGAAUUGCAGAAUCCCGUGAACCAUCGAGUCUUUGAACGCAAGCUGCGCCCGAUGCCUUCAGGCUGAGGGCACGUCUGUUUGGGCGUCACGCAUCUCGUCAACGCCUCCCACGUCGCCUUCUUCCCCACUCAAGGAAGUCGGGGGACGAUGCGUACGGGGGAGGGUGGGAUAUUGGCCUCCCGUUAUCUUUGCGUGUAGCGGCUGGCCCAAACAAUAUACCGUGCCGAAGGAAGUCGCACGAUACGUGGUGGUUGGAUUCCUCAACUUGCGAGCUAUCGUGUAGGACUGCAUCGAGCCACGGGCACGACCCAAUGGCAAAAGAUUGCCCUCGAUUGCGACCCCAGGUCAGGCGGGAUCACCCGCUGAGUUUAAGCAUAUCAAUAAGCGGAGGA